rnacentral:misc_RNA from 1 species
CGGGGGCAUGUUGGAGGGUUGCGACACAUAAUUUGCAUUCAUUUGCACUAAUUUUUGGAUGGCUGACAAUGUAAUUUGUUAUGCUGCAUUUAUUGCUUUCAGGUUGGUCUAGAUGGAUAUUCGGUGCCAUUAACUGCAGGGAAUUUUGCAAAACUGUUUAAGGUAGUCGAUGGGGCAAAGUUCAGCUCCGCUAACCAACCUGUUCUCACUGAUAAUGAGAUUGACAAGAACGUUGGUUCACAGUGUUCCCCUGAAAAUAAUGCCAUCAGGGCAGUUUG